ensembl:lncRNA
GGAAGAUGGCCGCACGCCAGCACGGCCGCGUCCUGCCGCCCUUCCACAGGGACACGGGGGUGGGCUCGGGGCCGGGCCGGGGACUGCAGCGGGCAUCACCGGGAGGUUUGUUUGUGUUGUGUAACCAGGGCUCGGCACGCGCGUUGGGUAACGCCGCCGACAUUUCACCUACUUUCAAGCCACUGCUGCGACGAAUCCGUUUGGCCCCAAGUUGUUUUCGCCUCCAAGGAAAGUACGUUUGCACGGCGGAGCCUCCCCACCCUCUCGCCGUAAUUCCCCGGGGCGGACGAGGAGGGAGACGGGGAUUAAAGAGUCGCAGGCUGUGCUCCAAAAGCCACCUUCUUUACCGACUUCUGGAAUGGGAGCGCUCCUGCUGGACCCAUCAGCUUAGUCCAAUUAUUCUGUUGCCUUGUUUCUGAAACUGGCUCCAAUGGAUGCUUAUGGGGAAGAGGAACAUGCUGCUGAAAGCAGAUGGUGCUGUGAGUCCUGGAUUUACUUCCUGUGGGGUGACGAAAGGCACAGAUCAAAGUUUUGAAGCUUGGACACAGCAGCAAUGGCAGACAUAGCCCAGUGGUAUCCGCCACCACCAUACCAGAGGAGACAGAAGGAAGUCCCCGGUCCCAUUCCUCAACAGGAGCACACAAGCUCUUUAGCAGCCAUGUUCAUGACUGGCCCACGUGCAGGCCUUGAGCAGAACCCACACUGAUACAAACACCAUCCAGACCCUCCAACUGAGGAAGAACUGAAGCAUGGAGGAAGAGAAACCCAGAUUCAAAAGCUAUUUAGACACCUAAUGAUGCAGUGAGAUACCAGCUGGCAUUUCCAGAAAGCACUGUUUAGGCAGCUAGGAGACCAGCACAAGUCCGCUCCACAUCUGCCUACAGCCAAGCAGCAACCAGCAGGGUGGAAGCAGACAGGUCACCUGGGGAGCAGCAAGGGCCCUGUGUCAGCUGCUUCAUGAGAGCACCUUGCUGCCUGCUUCUCACUGUCAGCAAACAUGAGGCACUCUGAGGCUAAUGAAGGAGGAAUGUCUGCUAACGAAGCAGGAGUGAACCAUCUCAGGUUCCGCAUGGCAUACGGGAGUGUGAAUGGUUAUGGCUCUGCUAAGCUCUGGCACAAAGACUUACUAACUGAGCAUUACAGUUCCUAGAAAGAAACCCAACAAACUGGGAAAAUAAAACAUUCUGACCUACUUUCAUCUCCAUUAACCUACUCCUUCCUUAAAAGCUUGGGCAGAGACAUUCACAUGUUGCUAGGCUCUAAGCAGCAGCUUUGCAGUCCUGGAUUCCAAUUGCAUGCAGCACAGCAGCGUGCUGUGGAUACAAAGACAGCCUCUCCCCACCCCCUCAGACAGGAGCCCCAAGAACUGGAAGGCUGCUGCUGCUGCUCUCUGCUGAACUCAGCUUCUGUGAGCACCUACGUGCAGGCUGGCAGGUCCCCCUGCACCCAGAAUGAAGCCCACCAACUCCUGCUAGGUAAGAGCUGGCCCUUCCACAGCUGAGGCACAGCUGGGCUUUGUCUAAACCACACUGACCAGCCCAUCGGAAUGAGGAUGAUGGUGUGGCAGAGUCAGAUCUCCAGGGAAAGAUGCAGUGGAUGAAGGGAGGCUAAAAAAGCCGAUGCACUUGACCUCUC